GAUGAACGCUGGCGGCGUGCCUAAUACAUGCAAGUCGAGCGAACAGACGAGGAGCUUGCUCCUAUGACGUUAGCGGCGGACGGGUGAGUAACACGUGGAUAACCUACCUAUAAGACUGGGAUAACUUCGGGAAACCGGAGCUAAUACCGGAUAACAUGUUGAACCGCAUGGUUCAACAGUGAAAGACGGUCUUGCUGUCACUUAUAGAUGGAUCCGCGCCGCAUUAGCUAGUUGGUAAGGUAACGGCUUACCAAGGCAACGAUGCGUAGCCGACCUGAGAGGGUGAUCGGCCACACUGGAACUGAGACACGGUCCAGACUCCUACGGGAGGCAGCAGUAGGGAAUCUUCCGCAAUGGGCGAAAGCCUGACGGAGCAACGCCGCGUGAGUGAAGAAGGUCUUCGGAUCGUAAAACUCUGUUAUUAGGGAAGAACAAAUGUGUAAGUAACUAUGCACGUCUUGACGGUACCUAAUCAGAAAGCCACGGCUAACUACGUG
rnacentral:rRNA from 1 species